GAAAUGCGAUAAGUAAUGUGAAUUGCAGAAUUCAGUGAAUCAUCGAAUCUUUGAACGCACAUUGCGCCCUUUGGUAUUCCGAAGGGCAUGCCUGUUCGAGCGUCAUUUCACCAAUCAAGCCCCGCUUGGUAUUAGGCGUAUUGGCCGGCGCUCAGCCGCCGGCCCGCCCGAAAUGCAUCGGCGAGGACGACCGACCCCCGGCGUGUUAAGAGUCUUUCGAGAAUCGUACGUCAGGAGCACCGGACGCCUCCGCCGCGACCUUUUUUUUUAUUCUAAGGUUGACCUCGGAUCAGGUAGGGAUACCCGCUGAACUUAAGC
rnacentral:misc_RNA from 1 species